AUGGAGAACCCACUGGUGCCGGCGGUGCUCGACAACCCGCCCCUCCUCCUCGACAACCCCGACCUGGCCGACACCCUUCUCCACCGCGCCUUUGCAGACCUCCGGCGGAACAACGUCCUCGCCUUGCAGGCAGCCGUCUGUCUCUUGCAAGGCUUGCACUUGGAGGCCGAGCUCCGGACCCUCCCCGCGCCCACGGAAGACCAGAGGCUCGAGCGCGCCGCUGUCGACGCGGUGCUUGAUGCGCUCGUGGCCAGCAUCGACUCCCUCACGGACCAGCAGUGGGCGCUCAUCCGGCUCGUCGGGUUGCUCUUCGUGGUCCGGGCGGCCGCCUCCGCCAGGAGCCGCGCGCACCUCCUCCCCGGCCUGCUCCUCGCGGCCGUCUUGGUGUCUGUGGUCAUGUACGUCUCGACGGGAGGCGCCGUGGUGCCGGGGUUCAGGAGCUUCGUCGGGUUCUCGCUGUCCGUCGACUUGCCUUCGGAUUCUUCUCCAGUCUCAUCGUCUGCGUCGCUAUCGUUGUGA
rnacentral:rRNA from 1 species